rnacentral:rRNA from 1 species
CCCUUAGAUGUUCUGGGCUGCACGCGCGCUGCACUGAAGCUAUCAACACGUUUUCCCUCCCUGAGAAGGGCGGGUAACCUUUUGAAUCAGCUUCGUGGUAGGGAUCGGGGCUUGCAAUUGUUCCCCGUGAACCAGGAAUUCCUAGUAGACGCGAGUCAUAAGCUCGCAUCGAUUAAGUCCCUGCCCUUUGUACACACCGCCCGUCGCUACUACCGAUUGAACGUUUUAGUGAGGCAUUUGGACCGACGCAUCUCAGUUUAACCGCUGGUUUGUGUUGGAAAGACUUCCAAACUUGAGCGUUUAGAGGAAGUAAAAGUCGUAACA